rnacentral:other from 1 species
CGCCGCCUGCGGUGUUCGACACGGGCCGGGUUACCUCUCGACCUUAAUGUAAAUACCCCGGGGAACGGUCAGCCGGCAACAUUGUGCAAGUCCGCCUCGAGCGGGAAGCCUUAAGUGCCGCGGCCCUCCCCAAAUAUUGCUCUUGUCGAGAGCAAUGGUCUGUGACGGCACAGGCGGGUGGCGC